rnacentral:rRNA from 1 species
AACGAACGCUGGCGGCAUGCCUAACACAUGCAAGUCGAACGAGACCUUCGGGUCUAGUGGCGCACGGGUGCGUAACGCGUGGGAAUCUGCCCUUUGCUUCGGAAUAACAGUUAGAAAUGACUGCUAAUACCGGAUGAUGUCUUCGGACCAAAGAUUUAUCGGCAAAGGAUGAGCCCGCGUAGGAUUAGGUAGUUGGUGGGGUAAAGGCCUACCAAGCCGACGAUCCUUAGCUGGUCUGAGAGGAUGAUCAGCCACACUGGGACUGAGACACGGCCCAGACUCCUACGGGAGGCAGCAGUGGGAAUAUUGGACAAUGGGCGCAAGCCUGAUCCAGCAAUGCCGCGUGAGUGAUGAAGGCC